rnacentral:lncRNA from 1 species
AAAGUGAUGAAUAAUGGCAUUUUGAAAGUCUGAGAACAUUAACUAGCCAUAUAUAUUGUUGGUCUAUUUAGGGACCCUGACUGGUUGUUCUUAUGACAGCAGUUUCCCCCAGAGGUACGAGGAAUUGUGAUUUCCUAGUAGCUGAUGGCAAUCUAGCUAAUAAAUAACUCAGGGCCAAUCGUUUUCUUUGCUUUUUCCAACUAGAGAGCAGCUACCCCCCAAAGACUGCAAGAACACUUCAGCUGGAAACAGAAGAAUCUGUCUCAGAAGAUGACAAAAGAAGGUAUGUUGCAAUAGACUGGACUGAAGAUAUGGUCUCAAAAAAGGA